rnacentral:rRNA from 1 species
GAAACGACUGCUAAGACUGGAUAGGAAGAUAAAAGGCAUCUUUUAUCUUUUAAAAGACCUAGUAAUAGGUAUGCUUUAGGAGGGGCUUGCGCCAUAUUAGUUAGUUGGUAGGGUAAUGGCCUACCAAGACGAUGAUGUGUAGCUGGACUGAGAGGUUGAACAGCCACAUUGGGACUGAAACACGGCCCAAACUCCUACGGGAGGCAGCAGUAGGGAAUUUUCGGCAAUGGAGGAAACUCUGACCGAGCAACGCCGCGUGAAUGACGAAGUACUUCGGUAUGUAAAGUUCUUUUAUCAAGGAAGAAAAGCAAAUGGCGAACCAUUUGUUUGCCGGUACUUGAUGAAUAAGCCCCGGCUAAUUAUGUGCCAGCAGCCGCGGUAAGACAUAAGGGGCAAGUGUUAUCCGGAAUUAUUGGGCGUAAAGGGUGCGUAGGCGGUCUAGUAAGUCAGUGGUGUAAUGGCAACGCUUAACGUUGUCCGGCUAUUGAAACUGCUAAACUUGAGUUAGAUAGAGGCGAGUGGAAUUCCAUGUGUAGCGGUAAAAUGCGUAAAUAUAUGGAGGAACACCAGAGGCGUAGGCGGCUCGCUGGGUCUUAACUGACGCUGAGGCACGAAAGCGUGGGGAGCAAACAGGAUUAGAUACCCUGGUAGUCCACGCCGUAAACGAUGAGUACUAAGUGUCGGGUUAAACCGGUACUGAAGUUAACACAUUAAGUACUCCGCCUGAGUAGUACGUACGCAAGUAUGAAACUUAAAGGAAUUGACGGGACUCCGCACAAGCGGUGGAUCAUGUUGUUUAAUUCGAAGAUACCCGAAAAACCUUACCAGGUCUUGACAUGUUUUUGCAAAAUGAUAGUAAUAUCGUGGAGGUUACCAGAAGCACAGGUGGUGCAUGGUUGUCGUCAGCUCGUGUCGUGAGAUGUUAGGUUAAGUCCUAAAACGAGCGAAACCCUUAUCGUUAGUUGCCAGCACGUCAUGGUGGGGACUUUAACGAGACUGCCAAUGAUAAAUUGGAGGAAGGUGAGGAUCACGUCAAAUCAGCAUGCCCCUUAUGACCUGAGCUACAAACGUGAUACAAUGGCUGUUACAAAGGGUAGCUGAAACGCAAGUUCUUGGCCAAUCCCCAAAAACAGUCCCAGUCCGGAUUGAAGUCUGCAACUCGACUUCAUGAAGUUGGAAUCGCUAGUAAUCGCGAAUCAGCAUGUCGCGGUGAAUACGUUCUCGGGGUUUGUACACACCGCCCGUCA